UACGGAGGGUGCAAGCGUUGUCCGGAUUUAUUGGGUUUAAAGGGUGCGUAGGUGGGUAUUUAAGUCUGGUUUGAAAGCAGGUGGCUCAACCAUCUGAUGUGGCUGGAAACUGGAUAUCUUGAAUGGGUUGGCGGUAGCCGGAAUGGGUCAUGUAGCGGUGAAAUGCAUAGAUAUGACCCGGAACACCGAUUGCGAAGGCAGGCUACUACGACUUGAUUGACACUGAGGCACGAGAGCAUGGGUAG
rnacentral:rRNA from 1 species